rnacentral:rRNA from 1 species
AGAGUUUGAUCCUGGCUCAGAAUGAACGCUGGCGGCGUGCCUAACACAUGCAAGUCGGAUGUGCCCCCGUCUUCGGAUUGGGGUGCAUGGCAGACGGGUGAGUAACGCGUGGGGAAUCUACCUCUUUGUGGGGAAUAACGCUCCGAAAGGAGUGGUAAUACCGCAUGAGAUCCAAGACUGGGAUGUUUUGGAUGAAACCUGGGGACCUUAAAGGCCUGGGGCAAGGAGAGGAUCCUGCGUCUGAUUAGCUAGUUGGUGAGGUAAUGGCCCACCAAGGCGACGAUCAGUAGCCGGCCUGAGAGGGUGAUCGGCCACACUGGAACUGAGACACGGUCCAGACUCCUACGGGAGGCAGCAGUGGGGAAUUUUGCGCAAUGGGCGAAAGCCUGACGCAGCAACGCCGCGUGGGUGAUGAAGGUCUUCGGAUCGUAAAACC